AGAGUUUGAUCCUGGCUCAGAGUGAACGCUGGCGGCGUGCCUAAUACAUGCAAGUCGAACGAUGAAGCUUCUAGCUUGCUAGAGUGCUGAUUAGUGGCGCACGGGUGAGUAACGCAUAGGUCAUGUGCCUCUUAGUUUGGGAUAGCCAUUGGAAACGAUGAUUAAUACCAGAUACUCCCUACGGGGGAAAGAUUUAUCGCUAAGAGAUCAGCCUAUGUCCUAUCAGCUUGUUGGUAAGGUAAUGGCUUACCAAGGCUAUGACGGGUAUCCGGCCUGAGAGGGUGAACGGACACACUGGAACUGAGACACGGUCCAGACUCCUACGGGAGGCAGCAGUAGGGAAUAUUGCUCAAUGGGGGAAACCCUGAAGCAGCAACGCCGCGUGGAGGAUGAAGGUUUUAGGAUUGUAAACUCCUUUUGUUAGAGAAGAUAAUGACGGUAUCUAACGAAUAAGCACCGGCUAACUCCGUGCCAGCAGCCGCGGUAAUACGGAGGGUGCAAGCGUUACUCGGAAUCACUGGGCGUAAAGAGCGCGUAGGCGGGAUAGUCAGUCAGGUGUGAAAUCCUAUGGCUUAACCAUAGAACUGCAUUUGAAACUACUAUUCUAGAGUGUGGGAGAGGUAGGUGGAAUUCUUGGUGUAGGGGUAAAAUCCGUAGAGAUCAAGAGGAAUACUCAUUGCGAAGGCGACCUGCUGGAACAUUACUGACGCUGAUUGCGCGAAAGCGUGGGGAGCAAACAGGAUUAGAUACCCUGGUAGUCCACGCCCUAAACGAUGGAUGCUAGUUGUUGGAGGGCUUAGUCUCUCCAGUAAUGCAGCUAACGCAUUAAGCAUCCCGCCUGGGGAGUACGGUCGCAAGAUUAAAACUCAAAGGAAUAGACGGGGACCCGCACAAGCGGUGGAGCAUGUGGUUUAAUUCGAAGAUACACGAAGAACCUUACCUAGGCUUGACAUUGAGAGAAUCCGCUAGAAAUAGUGGAGUGUCUGGCUUGCCAGACCUUGAAAACAGGUGCUGCACGGCUGUCGUCAGCUCGUGUCGUGAGAUGUUGGGUUAAGUCCCGCAACGAGCGCAACCCCCUUUCUUAGUUGCUAACAGGUUAUGCUGAGAACUCUAAGGAUACUGCCUCCGUAAGGAGGAGGAAGGUGGGGACGACGUCAAGUCAUCAUGGCCCUUACGCCUAGGGCUACACACGUGCUACAAUGGGGUGCACAAAGAGAAGCAAUACUGCGAAGUGGAGCCAAUCUUCAAAACACCUCUCAGUUCGGAUUGUAGGCUGCAACUCGCCUGCAUGAAGCUGGAAUCGCUAGUAAUCGCAAAUCAGCCAUGUUGCGGUGAAUACGUUCCCGGGUCUUGUACUCACCGCCCGUCACACCAUGGGAGUUGUGUUUGCCUUAAGUCAGGAUGCUAAAUUGGCUACUGCCCACGGCACACACAGCGACUGGGGUGAAGUCGUAACAAGGUAACCGUAGGUGAACCUGCGGUUG
rnacentral:rRNA from 2 species